GUCCUCGUAGCUCAGUGGAUAGAGUGGAAGCCUCCGGAGCUUCAGGUCGUAGGUUCGAAUCCUAUCGAGGACG
rnacentral:tRNA from 1 species